rnacentral:rRNA from 1 species
UGAAUACGAGACGCUAAGGCGUCGAAGUAGUGUAUGUCAUACUUCCAAGAAAAGCUUGCACUGUCAUAGAUAAAAAACGCCUGUACCAUAACCGACACAGGUGGGUAGGUAGAGUAUACUAAGGGGCGCGAGAUAACUCUCUCUAAGGAACUCGGCAAAAUAACUCCGUAACUUCGGGAGAAGGAGUGCCUUAUUAUUAAGGUUGCAAUAACAAGAUCCAAGCAACUGUUUAUCAAAAACACAGGUCUCCGCUAAGUCGUAAGACGAUGUAUGGGGGCUGACGCCUGCCCAGUGCCAGAAGGUUAAAGAGGCUGGUUAGCAUUUGCGAAGCUAGUAACUGAAGCCCUGGUGAACGGCGGCCGUAACGAUAACGGUCCUAAGGUAGCGAAAUUCCUUGUCGGGUAAGUUCCGACCCGCACGAAAGGCGUAAUGAUUUGGAUACUGUCUCGGAGAGGGGCUCGGUGAAAUAGACUUGUCUGUGAAGAUGCGGACUACCUGCACCAGGACAGAAAGACCCUAUGAAGCUUUACUGUAACUUGAAAUUGAAAUUGGACUUUAUUCGCGCAGUAUAGGUGGGAGGCGUUGAUUAUAAUCUUGCGGGAUUAUUGGAGCCAUUAGUGAGAUACCACUCUUGUAAUGUUAGAUUUCUAACUUUGAAUCAUUAUCUGGUCAAAGAACAGUUUCAGGCGGCCAGUUUGACUGGGGCGGUCGCCUCCUAAACGGUAACGGAGGCGUACAAAGGUUUCCUCUGAACGGUUAGAAAUCGUAUCUAGAGUGUAAAGGCAUAAGGAAGCUUGACUGUGAGACCUACAGGUCGAGCAGGGACGAAAGUCGGUCUUAGUGAUCUGACGGUACUGAGUGGAAAGGCCGUCACUCAACGGAUAAAAGUUACUCUAGGAUAACAGGCUGAUCUCCCCCAAGAGUUCACAUCGACGGGGAGGUUUGGCACCUUGAUGUCGGCUCAUCGCAUCCUGGGGCGGUAGUACGUCCCAAGGGUUGGGCUGUUCGCCCAUGAAAGCGGUACGCGAGCUGGGUUCAGAACGUCGUGAGACAGUUCGGUCCAUAUCCGGUGUAGGCGUUAGAAUAUUGAGAGGAGCCUUCUUUAGUACGAGAGGACCGAGAAGGACAUACCUCUGGUGUACCAGUUAUCGUGCCAACGGUAGACGCUGGGUAGCUAUGUAUGGAGUGGAUAACCGCUGAAAGCAUCUAAGUGGGAAGCCCACCUCAAGAUAAG